GACAAAGAAUUCACCAAUCACCUCCUGAGAGAAACCCCAAAAUGAACCAAGAACCAAGGAGGCAAAGUCAGAAUAACUCAUGAUUUGGCUGCCAGCAUUGUAAAAGAGCAGAGAGCUUGAAAUAUGAUAUUCUAGAAGGCAAAUGGUACAGGCUUAAAGCAAAGAAUAACUUACCCAUAAAAACUGAGAAGAAUCCUACAAGGGGAAAAUGGAUCUUUAAUGAAAUAGAGGACUUCCAAGCAUACCUGACAAAAAGACCAGAGCUAUACAGAAACUUCAAAGCGCAAAGACAAGAGUCAAGGAGAACAUAACGAGGAAAAAAAGUGAUGAAAGUGUUCCUGGAAACUCAGAAGAGCUCGAAUGAACAGAUGCAGAGUGAAACGAGCCAAACCUGGAGAACAAUGCGUCCAGUGACUCCACCAGGGGUAGGAAACCUGGGGCCUCGAGGCCAUGCAUGGUCCUCUAGGUCCUCAAGUGCGGCCCUUCGACUGAAUCCAAACUUCACAGAACAAAUCUUUUAAAUACGACACCGGGUAACUGGAAACAGCCGUGAAGAACUCUAGCCAAGGAGCUGAAUAACUGCACUCCGAGGAAAGAUGAGGAAUGAGGAUGCCUCCCGGCAGGCAGGGGAUGGCCCAGAAGCAUGUGGGUUUGCUUUGCUUAACUCUAUUUGCUAGGAGGCCUUGAAUGGAGAAUCAGACAUCGGCCUUGGCCACAAGGACUUCACAGGAGCGGGCUGGGGGAAGUGUCGGGGCAGAAGCCUCUUUGGAAGGGGCCAGGGGAGAGCGAAUAGAAGGUCAGGAAGCGGAAGCCAGGAAGAAGGGAGCCCUUUCAAUCCCUCUGGGAGGAAGAAGCAGGACAGAUGUGGCAGUAGUUGGAUGGACCCGAAGAGAUGAAGGAAGAUUCUCCACUCCGCAUCUGCUGCCCCGCCUGGUUCAGCUCUGCCCCCACUCCCCCUCCCUCUUCCCUGCCUCCUUUCGUGGCCCCCCAUUAGAUUACAAGCUUCUUUAGGGACUUUCUUUUUAUUCAUCGCAUCCCAGCACUUAGGACAGUUCCUGGCACGCGGUAGGCACCUAAAACACAUCUAUUGGGCUGGAUUAGAUAACGCGGCCAUGUCUGGCGAAGCUUAAGGCACCGCAGAGGGGAGCAGGGGCCGGUGGGGCGGGUGGGGUGAGGACCGACCCCCUCUGCCAGGUAUCUCCCAAGCUGAAGCAAGCGCACCUUGAGCCAGCAGGUGGCGACAAGUCCCCUGUGGCUGCAGGACCACCCCCAC